GCGCGUGCUUGUUAACCAUUCCGAAGCUGUCUGGACGGGUGCGUUCCUGCGCCUCUGGAGGACUCGCAAAGGCAGCUCGCUACUCCAGUCGGCAAGAUGGCUACGUGUGCAGCAUGAGACCAGCACCGUGGCACGGGGGUGGGACAUCCUCCUGUGAACCCAGCAUUCAUUGAGAAAGGAUUUACCGACCAGCGGCCGGCCGAGCACAAACCCCCGCAGUAAAUCUCUCUCUGGGUGCAGCGGCCAGCCCCCUCCUCCUGCGCGACCGCAGCCAACCGCCAGCCUCCAUCCUGUGGUGCCAGAAUAUUCUUUGCUGAUCUCUGGCAUAAGGUCCCUCAAUAUGGAUAUUGGGGGACAGCUACAUUUAUCGUGUGGAGGAAAGAGCAAGGAGGUCCCAGGGAACGGACCUAGGAGUGGGUGCCCUCCUCCCUUUCUCCAGCCUUUCACCAGUCCUCGAGAGGAAGAGCAGUCCCUGACAUCUUGUUCAUCCACUCUGUCAGGAAUGACCUUGGACGAACGAAGGGGCGUCCAUCUCGCAGCAGAGAUAAAGCAGGACCUGCCUGAUCCCCAUCGGUGUUACCCACAGAUGAGGAUCAUGUUGUCAGCAAUCACCUGGCGCCGGGUGUUGUUAUUUUGUUAUUGCUUAAAGAUGUGGGUAUUGCAAGUGUGGCGAGCACUGUAGCUUUAUUGUUUAAAGAUGUGAGUAUUGGUAUGUUCUGGCCCACACUGUAGCUUUAUUGUUUAAAGAUGUGAGUAUUGGUACGGUAUGGCCCACACUGUAGCUUUGCUUGCGUUCCUGUGGCUCCAUUGGUAGAGCAAGGAGCCAGCAAAACUAUGGUCAUGGAUUUGAGAGGGAGAGGGAAGCACACAUAAUGAUGAAAAUGCAUAUCUGCACUGUACUGUACGUUGCUUUGGAUAAAAGCGUCAGCUAAAUGAAAAAUGUGAUGUAGCUUGGCCAAAACAGUUUUAUUGAUGUUACGUACCUUGCACUUGCGCUGUUAAUGUUACUGGAAUUGCACUUGACUGUUAAUCUUGCCUUAC